CAGUGUAUGAUGCACACAGGGAUCAGGCAUGUUGGGGGAUGUUAUUCUCCAGGUGAGCAGACCUUUGGCAGGUAACCUUUGCACUCUGCUGGAAUAGCCACCUGUGUCUGAAAGCCGGGUAGUAAAACUAGUGCUCUCAACCCAGGCACAUCUUAUAAGGCCAGGACAGAUACUGAAUUUAUAUUGCUCUUGAAGCUUGUUUAUCUGUCUGAAAGGUUUUGUGGAUGACAACCCCCUUGUUUCUUUUAUUCUACUGCUCUCUCAAUUCUUCUUUCUCUUCCAGGCCCUACGUUUAGGAUUUGAAAUAUCUCUUUAUAUAGGAAAUUAAUUUUAAAAAAAUUGAUUGGGCCACAGCUGAGCCAUUCUCUGAAGUUUGCAGGUAAAGCAUAAAAAAAAAAAAAAAAAAACCAAGAAAAGAAAGAAUCUCUCCUGACUGUCCAGCUGACACAAAUCUCUUCUUCUUGAAUCAGGAGUGAAACCUUUGUCAGGCAAUACCACUGAGCAGCCACAAGUCAUUUGGGCUCUGGUUACGUUUUCUGUGGAAGCAAGAGCUCACAACACUUGGAGAGAAUCCACAGCUGUCUUUGCAAGGGCAUUGACUUAAAAGUUAAUCAUAGUUCUGGCCCCAGAUGGUUACAGUGCAUCUGCUUCUCUGUCUGUGGGAGUCUUAAAGGAUACUUGAUAGCUGUCCAAAGUCAUGUCCAACGGGACACAGAAUGCUGUAAGGCUCUCUACAUGGAAUUGCGACAGGUGAAGAAGAUAAGAAAUCCCUAUGGCAUACCUGCCAUGAGCAACCAGAGAAAGAAUAGAGGAAAACAGGCAUGACCCUUUGCCUAAUCAUCACCUCAUCUGCUCAGGAGCAGCAAGCCAUUACAGACAGGCUGCAAACUGCAUGUCUGUCACAGACGCAACACAUUCAUUCUCUUCUGGAACCAACUGCAAGAAGGAAGAAUCCAAGCAGGAACCAGGCUCCCCAAGGAGGGGAAGUGUCACCAGUGAAACAUCAUAGCACUGCUAAGAGGAUCUCAGCCUAAUGGGGCUGGUGGACAGGAAGACAAUGGUCUUUGCUAAGACUGUGUAUCCUCCUCCCUCGAAUCUCUUUUUCCUAGAGGGAUGCCUCCACUGGAGAGGGCAGCAGUCAGAGCCAGAACCAAUAUCAGGAAUCAAGGAAAUGACAGGAGAAGUGGUAUUUCUGUUCUGCCUACAGCAGAGCAAGAAGAUUGGGAUUAGCUGCCCAAGUCAAGGUCAGACACUCUCUAAGAGAACAUUAGAGGCAUCGUCUGUGGGGAGGAAUCACAGAAUCACAGAAUGGGUAAGGUUGGAAGGGACCACAGGGGGCCAUCUGGUCCAACCCCUUUGCUCAAGACCUAUUUAAGCAAAGUGCACACACACAAAAGGAAUACAUGAACGCUGGCAAUUAGAAGGUUUUUAAUUGUCAAUGAAAGCGGUGACAAUCUAGAGCCAGUAAGAGAAAUGGGAAGAAGAAAGCUAACCUGUGGAGGUGGAGCAGAUAAUCUCAAGUCUAUUUGGGCUCUGUAUCUCUGAUAGAUCCAGGGCUCAAUAGUUUUCUCACACUACUACCUGAAGGCUCUUCUGCAGCAUCAUGAGGUCCUGACAGUUUGUACAGUUUCCCACCAUCCUUUUGGUCUUCUAGUGACAAUGUCUGGCAGGAUACUUGCAUGGAUCCUGGUACUUUCCAAAGGGCUCUGACAUGUCCUGGUCAAGAGCAAACUGAAUUUAUAGUCAGCCCAAGCUGAGGUGGAGAAAACCUGGACUCCAGAUGCUGGAGAUCUUGAACUCCAAAGCACCCUUAAGAGCACUCUGGCAGGUAGAGCAUCGAUGGAGCCUGUGAUCCCUGAUCCUUUGCGAGCUUUGCAAUGGUUAGUUAUGGUGAGCAGAUGUUUUGGGUCCUGUGGGCUUCCAUGUACUUUCCAGAUUAAAGAUUCUAAACUCAGAGUGUUCAGAAAAGAACAUAAAUAGCCUUGGGCUUUGCUGAAGUGUGAAAAACUUCAGACUAGAUUUUUGCAAUGCUGUGUGAUUGUUGCUUUACUGUUGUGCCUCCAUCCAGCCACCAGCCAAAAACUGGGUGAAAUGGGGUCUCGAUGUCAGUGUAGAGUGACAGGUGAUUCCCUUAUAAUUUGGGAUAAGCUGAGGCUUUAAUCAUGAAACCUCGCAGAUUGGAACUGUGAGGAAACAGGAGAACAUGCAAUGUUCUUUCAAAAGGUUGCAGAGUUUCCUUAAUAUCUACUCCCUAUAGCCAUCUGGAAAUCUCACUGAGCCACUCAAAUGCUUUCCAGCGCUUUUACUUCACAGAAGCAUCCUUAAAACUGUAAUGCAGGCUUUGACUUAUAGCCAAAAUUGUUAUUUCCAAUAAUAAUGAGCUGACUGAUUACUGCCAUUAAUUCCUGACUGCAAGA